rnacentral:rRNA from 1 species
GACGGGGGGGCAAGUGUUCUUCGGAAUGACUGGGCGUAAAGGGCACGUAGGCGUGAAUCGGGUUGAAAGUGAAAGUCGCCAAAAGUGGCGGAAUGCUCUCGAAACCAAUUCACUUGAGUGAGACAGAGGAGAGUGGAAUUUCGUGUGUAGGGGUGAAAUCGUAGAUCUACGAAGGAACGCCAAAAGCGAAGGCAGCUCUCUGGGUCCCUACCGA